rnacentral:rRNA from 1 species
UACGAAGGGGGCUAGCGUUGUUCGGAUUCACUGGGCGUAAAGGGUGCGUAGGCGGUCGGGUAAGUCUGAUGUGAAAUCUCACAGCUUAACUGUGAAACUGCAUUGGAUACUAUUCGGCUUGAGAGUUGGAGGGGGGACUGGAAUUCUUGGUGUAGCAGUGAAAUGCGUAGAUAUCAAGAGGAACACCAGUGGCGAAGGCGAGUCCCUGGACAACUUCUGACGCUGAGGCACGAAAGCUAGGGAGCAAACAGG